AGGCGGGAGGCGCGCCGGGGGGGGAGGCGCGCCGGGGGGGGGGCGCGCCACCCGGCUGCCGGGCCACGAUCGGGCCCCCUCCCUCCCUCCCUCGCUCCCCCCCGCCUCUUUUCAGGUAAUCCCUCCCCGGGCGGCUGCGUCCGUCCGCCGAUUGGCUCCGGGCGGCGGGAUUUUGCAUCGCUAUUUGCAUCUCAAUGGCACGACGGGCUAUCGGCUCGCGCGCCUGGCGUCCAAAUUGGCCGAGAGAGGAAGCGUCCAAGAGACUCUCGAAGCGCAGCAACGCCGAACUGGAAAGGCGAUGGCGAUGCUUGCUUUUGAGGCNGUCCAGGAAUUCAAAUCAGAGCCUCCCCGGGUUGGUUGCGGUGAGGGUGGGGGUGUCGCUUAGAGAAGCAGGUCCGGCCGUGUCGCCCGCCUACAGAGUGGGUGCCCUCGGGAGGAGAACAACAGUGCCGGAUCCGGAACGGAUUACUAACGGUUUCAGUCUCCAGUCAACUCUGAUCAAACGUUUGUUUUCAGCCUCCCUGUUCAUGACUCAGCAAAGUUGCUUACGCGCUUCACAUUUCCUGCAUAUUCAGUACACUUGAUUCAGCUACUUCCGUUAACACCUGNGCUAUAGUGGAUCACAGUGUGUGCACAGCAGACAGUUUCAGGUACCUUGAAUUUUAAUUCUCUUUCAGCUGUCAUUCCUUCUGAAUAUGGGGCUCUAGGGGCUGUAAUUCAAUUAAGAGACUGGUAAUCCUCAACACACCAUUCUCUGCAUUCUCCCAAACCACAUCUCACAAAAGACAGCAGAAAGAGCCUGGGCGUGAAGGUAUAGAAACUUGAGCUGCCUGGGCAUUAGAGUUUUCCGUCUUGUUCUUAGCAGUGGGAUCUAAUGGAGUGUAAACAUGGCUUUUGGUGCAGGGUUGGCUGCAGAAACUUCCAGAAAGAUGACCAGUGCUCCAUCCAACCACCUUUGGGGCUGCAAUAUGGAUUUUCUCUCAUAGCCUUUUCCUUUCCUGAGCCACUCACAAGACUGUGAGGCUGUUUUANCCAUAACUGGGAACCCACNGUACACUCAUCUUUUAUUUGGUUCCUACAAGAUGCCAUGCAGUGCCCACGUGUCUUAUGCAACCCACUGCCACUUAGGGAAAACAGGGCUAGGGGAGCCACGCAGCCUGAAUCCAUGGGCCUUUCUGCACAGAC
rnacentral:lncRNA from 1 species